UACGUAGGGCGCAAGCGUUAUCCGGAAUUAUUGGGCGUAAAGAGCUCGUAGGCGGUUUGUCGCGUCUGCCGUGAAAGUCCGGGGCUCAACUCCGGAUCUGCGGUGGGUACGGGCAGACUAGAGUGAUGUAGGGGAGACUGGAAUUCCUGGUGUAGCGGUGAAAUGCGUAGAUAUCAGGAGGAACACCGGUGGUGCAGACGGCUCUCUGGACCGUAACUGACGCUGAGACACGAAAGCGUGGGUAGCAAACAGG
rnacentral:rRNA from 1 species